GUGGAAAGGGAAGAAUAUCUCCUACCCCAUGAUCUUACGAAACUACAAGGCAAAGAUGCCCUCUCAUCUAAUGUUGGCCCGCAAAGGAGACUCUCAGACCCCGGGUUUACAUUACCCUCCCACUGCAGGUGCUCAGACUCUCAGCCCCACCUCUCACCCAUCUUCCGCCAACCAUCAUUUCAGUCAGCAUUGUCAAGAGGGGAAGGCACCCAAGAAGGCCUUCAAGUUUCAUUACACCUUCUAUGAUGGCUCCUCCUUCGUUUACUAUCCCUCUGGAAACGUCGCUGUAUGUCAGAUCCCCACAUGCUGCAGAGGGAGAACCAUCACCUGCCUCUUUAAUGACAUACCUGGAUUCUCCUUGCUGGCCCUAUUCAAUACUGAAGGCCAGGGCUGUGUUCACUACAACCUAAAAACCAGUUGCCCAUAUGUCUUAAUCUUGGAUGAGGAAGGUGGGACCACCAAUGACCAGCAGGGCUAUGUAGUCCACAAGUGGAGCUGGACUUCCAGGACAGAGACCCUGCUUUCCCUGGAAUACAAGGUGAAUGAGGAAAUGAAACUAAAGGUACUGGGACAGGACUCCAUCACAGUCACCUUCACCUCCCUGAAUGAGACAGUAACACUCACUGUGUCGGCCAACAAUUGUCCCCAUGGAAUGGCAUAUGACAAACGGUUUCAGGCAUGGCUGGAUCCAGGCCCUGAAAUGAUUCCACCAGAUCUUCGCAUCUCUUGGCUCUGCUUUCCUCUUUGUUGGCUUCAUUCUCAAGGAGUUUCUCUCCUGUUGAUGACAAGAUGACCAUGAACAUCUCUGGGCUAUUAUUAUACCAGCUUUAGUGCCC
rnacentral:sRNA from 1 species